rnacentral:lncRNA from 1 species
UGACAUACAAUCACAUUUAUCAAUAUACAGCAAGUAGGUAAUUUGUGUUGAAUGCCAGUAGGUCAGAAUUUGUUAAUUGAAUUUUACCUGUAAAAGGGUCACUACUAGCUGUCAAAUUCAUGUUCAUCGAUUUUAAUCAAAUUCACAUAACGUGUGGUGUUGAAUUGUUUAUUAAAAUUCCACGCACAAUCUUGGCUGAUAUGCAUAAAACCAUUAUUUCAUGAACCUGCAUGAAAUAUUGACUUAUCACAGAACUAAAAAAAUAAACCACCGAAAGUCCACAUAAGAGGGUAUGGUGGAUGUGAAUUAACAGAAUAGAGAAUAACGGGCAAAGAAAAAAAGGAACAAAGAAUAGUGAAAGAAAAAGAAUAAUGGUAAAACGUGUAAGUCAUUAAAAAUAUAGCUUAAAAAAAAGAAGCCUCUGUCAUCAAUUUGAGGAAUUUACCCAAGGUUAAUUUUACGGCGGCUUAUUUUAUUUUGGAUUAAAAAUAAACACAAUUGACAAGUUUCCUUCCCCUGCAUUUUCGAUCGCACAUGUAAAUAGCACGUUGGUCUCAAAUAAGACACUGAUACAUUACAACACUUGCCGUCAGUAUAUGAAAAUAUUAAUUAAGAAGGUAUAGAAAAUUAAUGCACGCACACUAUUAUCCUUCACAGGCCUAAAUCGUUAGUCCGCAAACAACGAGGGUGAUAAAAAAAACCCAGCACUUUGAACACAGCCACCGGCAUGCUAUGAAUUUGAAAGCUUCCCAAAUUAGCAACUAUCAAUUUCUACCCAUAGAAAACUUUUGUCCUUCUUUAUGAAAAAUGAAAUAUGUUGAUAUUAAUGGUAUAAAGGUUAAAUCAAUUUAUUCAUAUAUUUGACCGACUAGAAUUAAUUGGGGAAUUUAAACCAAUUCCUAUUGUAAGUGAUAAAACUAUUAAAAUUUAUAUCAGAUCAUAUCAGGGUGAUUGAAAUGAGGAAAAGGGGGGGGUGGUGGUGAUCAGGUAUUUUUGGGGGAAGAAAGAAGGGAGGGUGAGUCCCUUGGGGGUAAUCCUCACCCCCUUCAAUUUGAGAAUAUGCUAUUAUCUUGUAAACGGUUUAGAUCCCACCCCCUAAACCAUAUAUAUUCUUGAAUGGGACAAUAAAACGAAUCAAUUAAAAUUAAAGGGAAGUCCCUGGGGGUCACCCCACCCCGUUCAAUUUGAGAAUGUGCUAUUAUCUUGUAAACGGUUUAGAUCCCCACCCCUAAACCAUAUAUAUUCUUGAAUGGGACUAUAAAACAAAUCAAUUAAAAUUAAAGGUUAGUCCCUGGGGUCACCCAUCCCCGUUCAAUUUGAGAAUGUGCUAUUAUCUUGUAAACGGUCCAGAUCCCCACCCCUAAACCAUAUAUAUUCUUGAAUGGGACGAUAAAACAAAUCAAUUAAAAUUAAAAGGAAGUCCCUGGGGGUCACCCAUCCCCGUUCAAUUUGAGAAUGUGCUAUUAUCUUGUAAACGGUCCAGAUCCCCACCCCUAAACCAUAUAUAUUCUUGAAUGGGACGAUAAAACAAAUCAAUUAAAAUUAAAAGGAAGUCCCUGGGGGUCACCCCAUCCCGUUCAAUUUGAGAAUGUGCUAUUAUCUUGUAAACGGUCAAGAUCCCCACCCCUAAACCAUAUAUAUUCUUGUAUUGAACAAUUAAAACACAUCAAAUGAAAUAUAGGGAGAGUCCAUGGGGGGUCACCCCCACCCUCACAUGUUUGAAAAACUUUUAAAUGGUUGAGAUCCCCAGUGGUUAAGUGAAAAAAAUUCCGGAUCACAGGGGGAGGAUUCUAGGGGUUGGAAGUUCAACUUGGAACCCCCCUUUUUUUUUUUGGACAAUCAAUGCAUUUGAAUGGGAACAUAUAGUUGGAACCACCCCUCCUAAAUCCUUGGGUUGGGAACAGGGAACCCCCUUUAUAAAAUGGCUGGAUCCAUCCAGGCAUACCAUCUAGCUAGCUAUUAAGGCUUUAAAAAUAUGAAAUAAAUCAAACAAGGAAAUUAACGGUGUAGGCAACUGUUUUGAAUUUUAAAAAAAAAGCCUUUAUUAACAAUGUUAAAUUUUGUGUGCAUUUAUUUUUGCUUAUUUUCAAUAACAAAUAAAUAAUGGACAGAAUUGCGUGAUUGAUUAUUGUAAUUUACGAAAAAUCUGCAUACAUGUUAUAAAAUGGGAAGUAGAAACUGGGAAUUUGUCAAAGAGACAACAACACAACCAACCAAAGAGCAGACAACGGCCGAAGGUCACCUAUGGGUCUUCAAUGCAGUGAGGAAAUUUUGGCACUGGUCUUCAGCUCAUAAAUAUGUCUCAGAAAUGAGAAUGAUAUACAGCUCUCAUUUGCAUUAAUAAAAACCUCACAAUAUGUUCUGAAUAUCAGAAUAUACAGUAUUGCAAGAUACUCUCAUAUUGUACACAUGGAGCUGAGAAACUGUAAAAUUAAUCAUGCUAAUUUAACAUUUAAGUCCUCGGAAUCAAUCUUAAUAUGCAUACAAAGGAAUAUAAGUAUGCAAAAGACAUAUAUAUAUAUAUGGUCUUCAAAAAUAAGAGUAUCAAUGCUAUUAAUUUAUGACAAGAUCUUAAUCAAGUAAUAAUUUUGGUUUGUUUAAAUAUUUCGGAGGUUAGUAUGACCUCCUUUUUUGUGAUGAUGUUUUCCUUUUAAGCUGGGAAAAAUUGUUUGUAUCAACAAAAAUAAAAAACACAAAGUUAAUCUAGAAUUAUGUUUUUAUCAUUUUUUUAUGUUUAGAUCAUGUAGAUUGUCAGCAAGAUGAAAAGAAAAAAAAAUAUGCAGCUCAAAAGUCAAAAUGUGGAUAAGCUGAGGUUCAAGGUCCUACUUUUGCAGAUUUUCAUAUUUUGCAUGAAUGAAUUUAAAGUUUAUACCAUGGACAGCAGAGAAAGAAAAAAAAAACUUUUCAAUUUUCCUGCUUCUGAAGAAUAAAUGUAAAACAUCUUGUUUUUGCUUGUUUGUGUUAUUCAUCUGUCCAGUUUCCUAAAUUGUAUCCUCUUUAAUUUCAGUAAGUAGCCUGUGUAUUUACAUAUAUAGUACUAAUAUUAAGAUUUUCAUGACAUCUGUCGAAUGCUUGUUAAUCAUGUUUAUGUUCCAGAACAUAUGAGUAUUAAGACUACGCGUACAGUCUGCCCAAUUUUAAGAAGUUGGUCAAGUUUAUUAGAAACAAAUAUACAUUACAGAUCAACAUAACUGAAAUCUUUAAUAGAUUAAUACAAAAAGUUUAAUUGCAGUAGAAAUAAAAAUACAUGUUUGGUUGAGCUCUGGUAUUAGACAGUACAAGUACCGGGUAUACUCAAAUGGUCUGAUUGUAUGCAUAUGGUCGGACUGUAAGAGUAUACUUAUAUGUUUCGGACCGUAAACGUACGGUCCAAAUACUUAUAUGGUCUGGAACAUUUAUACAUGUCUUAAAAUUAGUAUCUGACAAACACGUUGGUGUUUGUGAACUUGGUAAUAAGUUAUUCGAUAGAAAUAUAAUGUUUUCAGAUUAUAAAAAUAAAAAAUAUCCCAUAUUUACUUUUAAUAAAGAAGAAGAUUAUUGAUGUAUGUAUAACUGUAAAAUGAGACAGCAAGCCAACAACACAAAAAAUAAGUAUAAAACAAUAUAUUUUUUUUGUAUCAAUGUUAUAAUUUCCAAUAUGUCCGAAGAUUUCAAGGUAUUUUUACAUUGAAAUUAAAACACAAAUUGAACUCUGUCAGAACUUCUUCAAAAGCUUAAAGAUAUAUUGUUUCUGUUGUCUGCAUUUUGUAUAAUAUAUUGAAAAUUCUAGUGAAUAAUGGAAUAUGUUAUUAUAAUUGCCUAAAGUUUUAACAUUGAUCUUUAUAUAUAUAUGAUAUAUAUAACUUGGAAAAUACCCAAAUAUUUUAAAAGAAGAAUAAAUUAAUUGAUUGAUUAUAUAUAUAAUGUAUAUAGAAUAUAUUGGGUAGUAUUAGAAUAGGAAGAUGUGGUAUAUUGCUAAUUUGACAACUCUCCAUCAGAGACCAAAGGAUGUAAGAGGUUAGCAACUGAUGACACUGGACAACCUUUAACAAUCAGUAAAAUCCAUACCGCAUAGCUAUUUUUAUUAAAAAUCAUAUUAUUGCUACAUGUAUGCAAAAAUUUUUAUAUAAUACUUCAGAUUUUAUUGGUUCUUUUUCAGAAGGAUUGAAAUUCAUCACCUAGAAUAAAUGGAGAAAACAUAGAAACAAG